rnacentral:tRNA from 1 species
GCUGGGGUAGCCAAGUGGUUAAGGCGGUAGCCUGCUAAGCUACUGGGCUUUCGGCCCUCGCGAGUUCGAAUCUCGUCCCCAGCG